GUGAUGACUCACUGGGUAAGAGUGCAUGUUUCUUAAGCAUGAGGGCUUGAGUUCAAAUCUCCAGANCUCACA
rnacentral:tRNA from 1 species